CCUACGGGUGGCAGCAGUGAGGAAUAUUGGUCAAUGGGCGCGAGCCUGAACCAGCCAAGUAGCGUGAAGGAUGAAUGAUCUAUGGGUUGUAAACUUCUUUUAUAUGGGAAUAAAGUGAGGCACGUGUGCCUUUUUGUAUGUACCUUAUGAAUAAGCAUCGGCUAACUCCGUGCCAGCAGCCGCGGUAAUACGGAGGAUGCGAGCGUUAUCCGGAUUUAUUGGGUUUAAAGGGUGCGCAGAGGGGUGGUGAAGUCAGGUGUGAAAGUUCGGGGCUCAACCCUAGAACUGCAGUUGAUACUGGAUGUCUUGAGUGCGGGUGAAGUAUGCGGAAUGCGUGGUGUAGCGGUGAAAUGCAUAGAUAUCACGCAGAACUCCGAUUGCGAAGGCAGCAUAC
rnacentral:rRNA from 1 species